UGCGUAGGUGGCCGGGUAAGUCCGACGUGAAAUCUCCGAGCCUAACUCGGAAACUGCAUCGGAUACUAUUCGGCUGGAGGGUUGGAGGGGGGGACGUGGAAUACUUGGUGUAGCAGUGAAAUGCGUAGAUAUCAAGUGGAACACCAGUGGCGAAGGCGAGUCCCUGGACAACUCCUGACACUGAGGCACGAAAGCUAGGGGAGCAAACA
rnacentral:rRNA from 1 species